rnacentral:lncRNA from 1 species
AACAAAAUGAGCUUAUUGGCAUCCGAAUGUUAUUUGAUGUCUUCCCAGUAUAAAUGGGAGACAUACUCUUGUUAGACUCUUGCUUGAGCGAUUACUAUCAAAUCAACAAUUUUAUUGAUAAAUUAUUUGUUGGUAAAAGAGACAUUGGAGGAAACCAUAUCAAAAUUACGUUAUGGUAGUCUGAAGUUGUUGUGUGUUAUUAUUAACGGCGAAAUUUGGAUUUAGACAUUAGAAGAAAAAGCGGGAACAUAUAACCGAAUCAAACUAAAUUACACUAAUCGGACUAAUAGGCUAAAGACAGUAUCGGAUAAAUCGAUAGGAAAAAGAGUUGGAUUAGAGGAUGAGUCCGAUUCGAUGUGCAAAAGGAGAUUAAUUUAGAAAGGAAACAGAGUCCGUGAGAAGCAACAUGUGUAAAUAGUAGAGUUUGUUUUAUAAAUUUAUUUAGGUAGACUUCAUGUGUAAUAAGUUAAAUAAAAAGAUAUGAAUAUGUAUCCCUUUUAGAUUAGU